rnacentral:rRNA from 1 species
AGCGAACGCUGGCGGCAGGCCUAAUACAUGCAAGUCGAGCGCACCUUCGGGUGAGCGGCGGACGGGUGAGUAACGCGUGGGAACGUGCCCUUUGGUACGGGAUAACUGAGGGAAACUUCAGCUAAUACCGUAUGUGCCCUACGGGGGAAAGAUUUAUCGCCAUUGAAACGGCCCGUGUUGGAUUAGGUAGUUGGUGAGGUAAAGGCUCACCAAGCCGACGAUCCAGAGCUGGUCUAAGAGAAUGAUCAGACACACUGGGACUGAGACACGGCCCAGACUCCUACGGGAGGCAGCAGUAGGGAAUCUUGCGCAAUGGGCGAAAGCCUGACGCAGCCAUGCCGCGUGAAUGAUGAAGGUCUUAGGAUUGUAAAAUUCUUUCACCGGGGAAGAUAAUGACGGUACCCGGAGAAGAAGCCCCGGCUAACUUCGUGCCAGCCGCCGCGGUAA